rnacentral:misc_RNA from 1 species
UUUCUUUCGUUCAGCUCCGGGGAUUUUGGAUUCAAUUAUGGAAUAUUAUGAUUUUAUUUAUCAAUUUUCUGUUGAAUUUUCAAUUUGGAUUUUGGUUGAAUUGAAUCGCCUAAUUUAUGAAAUGCGCCAUCGUGAAUUUAUUUUGUUGCUUAAUUUGUGAAAUGCGGAUCGAUCAUUUAUGCUAUUGAUUGUUAGGUUUUUGGAAAAAUUUUCAGCAUUGUUGCUCAAUAUGGAUAGAAGCUGUCUUUGCUCGUACAAUUCUACAAAAAUAUAUUUGGAUUUAGCAAUGCUAAACCCAUUCCUUUUAAAUGUAGAAUAGGAUAUGUUGGUUUUGCUUCUGGACAUUUUCAUGAACCAAGAUCUAAUGCUAAGUUUUAACAAGCAGUAGUUCUCAGAAUGAUUAUCAUUUUACGGGAAACUUUCUUUGGUCGUCCUUACAAUCCAUAUUAGAUGGUCGAGACUGUUGUAUGAGGUGUGUUAAAAGAAUUAGUCUCAAUUUGACUUCACUGUUGGCUUGGCUAGUUUUUCAAAACUAGUUAAAAUUUUCAGCUUCUGGAUUUGUCUUUGUUAAAUUUCUGAGAAAGGCAAGGGAAAUUUGUGUCUUUUUAGUGGUUAGGAAGAUUGGCUAAGACGUUAGAUAGAGUGCAGGGUUAGUGACAGGUGGAAUUUUUAAGUACUUCAGCUCCUUGGUCAUGUUUGAGACUUUUCAUAGUAAUAACACCUAUUGGAAAGAAAAAAAGAAAAGUGAAAGACACAAAAAGCCCAAAUUGUAGCAUAAAAAAUCAAAUUUCCUGCAUAACUUAUGAUAGGACUCCACUGUAUGUACAUCUUUUGUCUACUUAUUUUUCUUUUAUUUUUUAUUUUGUUAAAAGGACAUGGAGGUGGGUGGAUAAGCUCUCUGUUACUGUUUGUUCCACAGAUGAUGAACAUGAACUUGUGACGUGAUAUAUUUUGAGGUUAUAUUUGUAAGGUAGGCAAACAAUGUGGUAAACAAAUGGCAAUAACACCAUUGUUAUCCUUUCUAAUAGUGAUUGCUGGUGUUAUCUUAGUGCAAUCUCUGUUAUUAUUGGAAAAAAAAAGGAGACACUUUUAGCUAUUGCAUGCACUGAGAAUUUAGUAACUAAAAAAAGGUGAUUAACUGAGGAUGCACUUGUGAAAUUGUUUAACAUUCAGAGGCAUAUCGGUAGCAGUUAGCUUUUUGUAUAUGGUUUCUGGUUAGCUAGUUAUGUGUAGUUUCUAAGUUGAAGCCUGAAGGGCUAGUUCUGUACAGUUUUUGGAUUAAAUUGGAAAUAGGAAAUUCUGGUAGGCAACACAGUUGAUAACUAUUCUCCUUCCCCCUUCUUUUCCCGUAAAUGAUUUCAACAAAAUGGUCCCGUAAAUAUCUAUUCUGAGUGGAACUUGGACUGACUUUCCUUGCAUUGUAGGCACAAGACAAGACUACAUAUUGGGCAGUUGGUUAAGGAUACUUCAGCAAAACUUAAACAAGCAAGUGAAACAGAUCAUCAUGCUGGAGUUAGUCAAAGCAAAAAGAUUGCUGAUGCUAAACUUGCAAAAGAUUUUCAAGCAGUUUUGAAAGAAUUUCAAAAGGCUCAACGGCUUGCAGCUGAGAGGGAAACAGCAUACACCCCUUUUGUUGCCCAGGCAGUUCUUCCUUCAAG